rnacentral:antisense_RNA from 19 species
UGUAUUAGAUGAUAAAUAUGCUUUAAAUCCCGUAUUUAAGGGGCUUUGUUAGGUUUUGUUAGAUUGGGUUAAAUUGUGGAGUGGUGAUCACGAUUGGACUUGAACCAACGACCACUACCA